rnacentral:rRNA from 1 species
ACACACCUACGUUGAAAAGUGGGGUGAUGACCUGUGGGGAGGAGUCAAAGUCUAAUCAAACCCGGAGAUAUCUCGUUCUCCCCGAAAUAGCUUUAGGGCUAGCCUCACGUUACAGUAAUUGGGGGUAGAGCUACUGGAUGGAGCUGGGGGGCCUAUCGCCUACCCACUCCAACCAAACUCCGAAUACCAAUUACCUUUGUCGUGGGAGUCAGUCCAUGGGAGAUAAUUUCCAUGGUCGAAAGGGAAACAGCCCAGACCGUCGGUUAAGGUCCCAGAACGAACCUCAGUUUCUAAGGUGGUCGGAUUGCUAUGACAGUCAGGAUGUUGGCUUAGAAGCAGCCAUCAUUUAAAGAGUGCGUAACAGCUCACUGAUCGAGGAAUCCGGUGCCGAUAAUGAUCGGGAAUAAGGUUCGUACCGAAACCACGGAUGAUUUUAUAUCAUGGUAGGGGAGCGUUCCUGUCAGCGUCGAAGCCGUCCCGGAAGGGUAGGUGGAGCGGCAGGAAGUGAAUAUGCAGGAUUGAGUAACGAUCAACGGAGUGAGAAUCUCCGUCGCCGAAUGCCUAAGGUUUCCUGGGGAAGGUAAAUCCGCCCAGGGUUAGGCGGGUCCUAAGGCGAGGCCGAAAGGCGUAGUCGAUGGACAGCAGGUUAAUAUUCCUGCCCCGUUGUGUGCGGUUGACCCGGCGUGACGGAUCUUGAAGUUCUGUGGGACAGUGAAGCGUCCAGGCCCUUGAGGCCGAAGCAGGGUAGAUAGGUUCCAAGAAAAGCCGUCCGGUGACAAACACAAUGCCCGUACUAAAACUGACACAGGUAGGCGUGGCGAAUAGCCUCAGGCGCUCGAGAAAAUGGUUGUGAAGGAACUAGGCAAAUUGACCCCGUAAGUUCGCGAUAAGGGGGCCCUACUGGCAACAGAGGGCGCAGAGAAAAGGCUCUGGCGACUGUUUAUCAAAAACACAGCACUGUGCGAACACGCAAGUGGACGUAUACAGUGUGACGCCUGCUCGGUGCCGGAAUGUUAAGGAAGCAGGUUAGCCUUCGGGCGAAGCUUGCGACUGAAGCACCGGUAAACAGCGGCCGUAACUAUGACGGUCCUAAGGUAGCGAAGUUCCUUGUCGGGUAAGUUCCGACGUGCAUGAAUGGCGUAACGACUGGAGCACUGUCUCCACAAC